rnacentral:rRNA from 1 species
GACAGAGGGUGCAAACGUUGCUCGGAAUCACUGGGCGUAAAGGGCGUGUAGGCGGGAAUGUAAGUCGGGCGUGAAAUCCCUAGGCUCAACCUAGGAACUGCACUCGAAACUGCGUUUCUUGAGUAUCGGAGAGGAAAGCGGAAUACCUGGAUGUAGAGGUGAAAUUCGAUAGAUAUUCGCAAGAACACCAGUGGCGAAGGCGGCUCACUGGCCCGAUACUGACGCUGAGGAGCGAAAGCGUGGGGAGCGAACAGG